rnacentral:rRNA from 1 species
GAUGAACGCUGGCGGCGUGCCUAAUACAUGCAAGUCGAGCGAGAAGCUUGGAAAUGACGCUUCGGUUGAUUUUCCAAGCGGACAGCGGCGGACGGGUGAGUAACGCGUAGGCAACCUGCCCCUGACAGAGGGAUAGCCAUUGGAAACGAUGAUUAAAACCUCAUGACACCGUAGUAGCACAUGCUACAUCGGUCAAAGAUUUAUCGGUCAGGGAUGGGCCUGCGUCUGAUUAACUGGUUGGUGAGGUAACGGCUCACCAAGGUGACGAUCAGUAGCCGACCUGAGAGGGUGAUCGGCCACAUUGGAACUGAGACACGGUCCAAACUUCUACGGAAGGCAGCAGUAGGGAAUCUUGCACAAUGGGCGAAAGCCUGAUGCAGCAACGCCGCGUGAAGGAUGAAGGCCUUCGGGUUGUAAACUUUCUGUUCUAAAGGGAAGAAAAGAAAUGAAC